rnacentral:rRNA from 1 species
GAUGAACGCUGGCGGCGUGCCUAAUACAUGCAAGUCGAGCGAACGGACGAGAAGCUUGCUUUUCUGAUGUUAGCGGCGGACGGGUGAGUAACACGUGGAUAACCUACCUAUAAGACUGGGAUAACUUCGGGAAACCGGAGCUAAUACCGGAUAAUAUUUUGAACCGCAUGGUUCAAAAGUGAAAGACGGUCUUGCUGUCACUUAUAGAUGAAUCCGCGCUGCAUUAGCUAGUUGGUAAGGUAACGGCUUACCAAGGCAACGAUGCAUAGCCGACCUGAGAGGGUGAUCGGCCACACUGGAACUGAGCCACGGUCCAGACUCCUACGGGAGGCAGCAGUAGGGAAUCUUCCGCAAUGGGCGAAAGCCUGACGGAGCACCGCCGCGUGGGUGAUGAAGGUCUUCGGAUCGUAAAACUCUGUUAUUAGGGAAGAACAUAUGUGUAAGUAACUGUGCACAUCUUGACGGUACCUAAUCAGAAAGCCACGGCUAACUACGUG